CAAUAGCGUAUAUUUAAGUUGUUGCAGUUAAAAAGCUCGUAGUUGGAUUUCGGAUGGGACUUGCCGGUCCGUCGUUUCGAUGUGCACUGGCAAGUCCUAUCUUGUUGUCGGGGACUAGCUCCUGGGCUUCACUGUCCGGGACUAGGAGCUGACGAGGUUACUUUGAGUAAAUUAGAGUGUUCAAAGCAAGCCUACGCUCUGAAUACAUUAGCAUGGAAUAACACGAUAGGACUCUGGCUUAUCUUGUUGGUCUGUGAGACCAGAGUAAUGAUUAAGAGGGACAGUCGGGGGCAUUCGUAUUUCAUUGUCAGAGGUGAAAUUCUUGGAUUUAUGAAAGACGAACUUCUGCGAAAGCAUUUGUCAAGGAUGUUUUCAUUAA
rnacentral:rRNA from 1 species